AUUUUAAGUCUGGCCUGCCCACUGAAUUUAAAGGGCCGCGGUAUUUUGACCGUGCAAAGGUAGCAUAAUCAAUAGUUUUUUAAUUGAAAGCUGGAAUGAAUGGUUGGAUAAGAAAAAUACUGUCUUAAAUUAAAUUUUUUAAAAUUUUAUUUUUAAGUUAAAAAGCUUAAAUUUUAUUAAAAGACGAGAAGACCCUAUAGAGUUUUAUAAUAAAUUUAUAUUUAAUUUUUUAGUAUAUUUUUUUUAAUUAUAGUUUUAUUAUUUAAUUGGGGUGAUUUAAAAAUUUAAAAAACUUUUUAUUUUUGUUUACAUAAAUUAAUGAAUAAUUGAUCCAUAAAAAUGAUUAUAAGAAUAAAUUACCUUAGGGAUAACAGCGUAAUUUUUUCUGAGAGUUCUAAUUGAUGAAAAAGAUUGCGACCUCGAUGUUGGAUUAAAGUUAAUUUAUGGUGCARAAGCUAUAGGAUUUGGUCUGUUCGACCUUUAAAACUUUACA
rnacentral:rRNA from 1 species